rnacentral:rRNA from 1 species
CCUACGGGUGGCAGCAGUGAGGAAUAUUGGUCAAUGGGCGAGAGCCUGAACCAGCCAAGUCGCGUGAGGGAGUACUGCCCUAUGGGUUGUAAACCUCUUUUGUCGGGGAGCAAAAGCCGGACGUGUCCGGCUGUGAGAGUACCCGAAGAAAAAGCAUCGGCUAACUCCGUGCCAGCAGCCGCGGUAAUACGGAGGAUGCGAGCGUUAUCCGGAUUUAUUGGGUUUAAAGGGUGCGCAGGCGGAUUUUUAAGUCAGCGGUAAAAUCGUGGGGCUCAACCCCAUCCAGCCGUUGAAACUGGGGAUCUAGAGUGUGCGAGAGGUAUGCGGAAGGCGUGGUGUAGCGGUGAAAUGCAUAGAUAUCACGCAGAACCCCGAUUGCGAAGGCAGCAUACCGGUGCACAACUGACGCUCAGGCACGAAAGCGUGGGUAUCGAACAGGAUUAGAUACCCCAGUAGUC